rnacentral:ncRNA from 1 species
GUAGAUAUGAUGAUGGAGAGAAAAAUGCACUGUCCAAUUCAAGAGAGCUGACGAAACGGUGGAAGUCAGCAUUGGUAGGCAUAUAAUGAUCACUCCUGAAUAACUUAUCUGAAAAGACGUACAUAGUGUCUUAUUAGGACGAGUCGGCAGUCACCGUUAAAAGACGAAAGGAUUUAACCUUUAAAGAGGCAUUUAUGCAACUAGGGUGGUACCGCGGAAGUAGAUCUUUCGUCCCUAUA